GGCUCAGGACGAACGCUGGCGGCGUGCUUAACACAUGCAAGUCGAGCGGAAAGGCCCCUUCGGGGGUACUCGAGCGGCGAACGGGUGAGUAACACGUGAGCAACCUGCCCCUGACUUUGGGAUAAGCCUGGGAAACUGGGUCUAAUACCGGAUACGACCACGUCACGCAUGUGGUGUGGUGGAAAGUUUUUCGGUUGGGGAUGGGCUCGCGGCCUAUCAGCUUGUUGGUGGGGUGAUGGCCUACCAAGGCGACGACGGGUAACCGGCCUGAGAGGGCGACCGGUCACACUGGGACUGAGACACGGCCCAGACUCCUACGGGAGGCAGCAGUGGGGAAUAUUGCGCAAUGGGCGGAAGCCUGACGCAGCGACGCCGCGUGAGGGAUGACGGCCUUCGGGUUGUAAACCUCUUUCAGCAGGGACGAAGCUAACGUGACGGUACCUGCAGAAGAAGCGCCGGCUAACUACGUGCCAGCAGCCGCGGUAAUACGUAGGGCGCAAGCGUUGUCCGGAAUUAUUGGGCGUAAAGAGCUCGUAGGUGGUUUGUCGCGUCUGUCGUGAAAGCCCACGGCUUAACUGUGGGUCUGCGGUGGAUACGGGCAGACUAGAGGCAGGUAGGGGAGAAUGGAAUUCCCGGUGUAGCGGUGAAAUGCGCAGAUAUCGGGAGGAACACCGGUGGCGAAGGCGGUUCUCUGGGCCUGUACUGACGCUGAGAGC
rnacentral:rRNA from 1 species